UCAGAUUCCUGAAAAAUGUAUCCCCAAAAUCUACAGAAAAGUGUGCUGAUUAGGUCCCCCCUUUGUACUUCCCUAGGAUGUUAUGGAACUACAAUGAACUGACACAGAUCCUGAGUGAAUGAGAAAGCCGUGCCAGCCUGACCAAAAUGACCAGCACAGAUACAAAACAGAGUCGAUGAAAAUCACCAAGAAGCAAAAUUCCACUGUUGGAUACAUUGGUGCAAACUGGAAAUGACUCAGCUGAAACCACCCAGAAUCACACAGAAUCACAGAGGACAUCUUGUUGAAAAUCACUAAAAUAAAUUACACUGGACACAGCUUUAGCAGGCCCCGCAUGAAUUGUGAACCAGCUGCUGACAGAUGCCUUUUGUCUCAAGUUCACCUGACCCAGGUGGGCUCCAGCUUCUCCAAACCCCAGCAUACACGCAGGCCAUGGCCAUUGUGGAAAUGGAAAUUCUCAGACCUUCUGCUCCUCUUGCAGAUUGCCCAGCAGCUUUGACACAGGCUUCUCCAUAGCUCCAGGCUGUUCAGUCUCAUUGUGGCACAAUUAUUUUAUAACCUAGAUAGCACAGCAGAUGUAAUGAAAAAGGCAAAAUGAAAAGUCACCUGAAUGCAUUUUUCUUCCUGUGAUUUCUUCACUUCUCUUGGCAUUUUGUUGGUUUUAGGGAAUCUAUUAAGGAAACCAAGGUGCUACUUCUCUUCUGUUUCCUUGCUGCCUUGCAAAGAGCUUCUCCUUUGGAGCCUAACAACAGCCCUUACUGUGAGGCUUUGGCUCCUGCUUCAUGUUCUGUCUCCUGUCACACUGCUCUCUCUGUUCCCCACCACCACCUCUUUUUUCUUUUCUUUUCGAUUUUUUU